UUGUCAGCACUGUCUGUGAGGAGCUCUGUGAUAACAUACUGUGAAAUUCACUCUCGUGUCUACAAAGGAAUAAAAAAUGGCUCAUCUGAGUCACUAGAUGUCACACAGAGUAAACAACAACAAAACCAGGAUGCAGUUAUUUUGCGGCUUCGCCAAAAAAGAUACCCUUACUGCUGAAUAGGUUGCUACUAAUUCAGCUGCCUGGGAACCUGGGUAUAUGCUAGUAAGGGGAAGGAAACACGGAUUCCGCAGGGCUGUGCCCAGGACCCCUGAUGGCAUGGCAGCAUCUGCAGAGUGUGCUGGAGAUGGAGAGGGGGAUCCUGAUCCUUCGCUAUUCAUUACUCUGACGCCUGUUUACUGACUUCAGCCAAGGACAUGGACCAAGCCUAGGGAGCAGCUGAUCUGCGUCAGCAAGAUGGCAUAUACACACAGCAUGAACCUCAGCUUGGUGCUCCUCUGCUGCUGCCGCCCUGCGUGACACCAGCCUCCCUGUCAUCCUGCUGCUGACUGGCUUGAACCAGGGGGGCAAAACGGUGUCUAAACGGCAUCACAGAACAGAGGAGCCUUAACCCUUCUCACUUUGCUCUCAGAUACCCCCAGUAAGAAGGGGGAAGAUCGCGAGGCUCUCCGAGAGGCACGUGCCACCUGGCAGUCCCUCCUAUAUGUGGUUACUUUCCCUGGCCUAAGAGGCUUUGACAAAUGCCAAAACCAGAGAACCGAAAGCUACCGUGACAUGUAACUUCUCACUUCAACUGCUCUUCUUAU
rnacentral:lncRNA from 1 species